AUCGUGUUGUUUCUAGAAGGAAAAAGAUUUUAAAUAAGUUGACUCAAAUAUGUGAAGUCUACUUAAGGAAUAAUUACAGAAAUGAUGGCUUCGUUAGGUACACUACAGUUUUCCAUCGAAUGUGACAAUUGCACUUGUGCAGAGAGAUGUAAAUUUUACUGCAAUUCUUGUUAUAUUUCGUUGUGUGAGAAAUGUAAAGAUGUUCAUCUCUCUAGUUCCGUGACCAGUUGCCAUGAAGUGGUAAAUUAUCAGCAACGACUUAGGAGGUCAAAAAUGGAAAAAUGCAAACUCCAUCCAACGAGAAUAGCAGACAUUUGUUGCGAAGAAUGCGAAAUUACAGUAUGUUCUAAAUGCACAACUAUUCCUAAACACAAGGGUCAUACCUUUUUAGAUUUGGAAACAAUCUGCACAGAAAGAUUCCAAUUUUAUCAGAUGAAAUCGUCCGAAAUUCUCGAAUGUUAUAUCCCAGGAGCACAUGACGUUGAAAAAGAGAUCGAAAUGAAUAUGCAUAUCUUAAACCACUUCGUCGAUGAUAUACGUAUUUCCAUGUAUAAAGAAUUUCAGGAGUUUAUGAAAAUGGCAGAUACCAUACUUUCGGAUAAUAUGAGUAUGCUUGACCAAAUGGCGGCAGAACAUCGGGCAGAAAUGGAAGACCAUUACAUAACCAUUGGUGAUUAUAUCACACAUUUGGAGGAAAUUCUAACCAAGUAUAGGGGUGACACAGAUGAUGAAAAUACGGAUGCAUUGAUUUCGUUUCAAAAGCAAAAAAAGAAAAUCGAUAUUCCGUCAAUUCCAAAAAAUCGCAAAAUAAACCAGUUCCCUCUCUUUGAAGCGGGUUCAUUUACAAAGGAAGAUAUUGCUGAUCUGUUAGGAAAAGUUUUUUUGGCCUAAAUCGCGGAAGAAAAAAAAGCAAACAACCCAUACUAAGUGUGAUACAAAAUAUAUCUUUAUCCUCAAUACCAUGAUUUUGAUUUGUAUUUAGAUGCAAAGAUUAACUUUUUUUUUUGUAUUUAUGUGGGUGUCUUAUAUUCAUGGCAUAUCACAUCUAUAUGUCAAUAUUCAUGUACAAGUUUAACCAAGCCCCACCUAGCCUCACUUAUACACGAUUGAAGUAAAAAUGAACAAAGUAAGAUUCCAUGUUCUGUAUACAAUUGAUUGAUAUACAAUAUCGUCGGCGGGGAUAAUAGCAAAACACUCAAUUUGCUACAAACCGAGGUCGUCUGAAUUCCUGAAAUGGCAGAUAGAAACAUUUUAAUAUUGUACAUGAAUUUCUCUAUGAAUUGGAAUCAAAGCUAUCAGAAAACAUUAUAAAUUGAUUCUGAUUUAGUACUUUUUGAAACAUGAUAGAAUAAAUACACCGAUGUUAGAUCAUUUAAGUAUGUUUGUAUUAUAGACUAUGUAUUGAAUCAUAUAUUGUUUCACCAAUGAAAAUCAUAAGACUUGAUGAGCAAAUAAUAAAUUACCCGAGCAGAAAUGGUGAGGUUAUAACAAUGCCUGUUUGGGUUAAUUGUUUCAAACCUAUACCUUAUACCUAUAUAAAAUGUAAUUGUAGUUUUUCGCAGAUACUAAUUCUACAAUUAGGACUGAAUAAAGACUUCUAUACUUUAUAGUGAGUAUUUUGUAGAAUACU
rnacentral:sRNA from 1 species